rnacentral:rRNA from 1 species
GACGAACGCUGGCGGCGGGCUUAACACAUGCAAGUCGAACGGAAAGGCCCUGCUUUCGUGGGGUGCUCGCGUCGCGAACGGGUGAGUAACCCGUGAGUAUCCUUCGCUGUACUUUGGGAUAUCUUCAGGCAACUGGGGAUAAUACCUGAUAGGAGCUCCUGCAGGAGGGGGGGGGUUGGACAGUUUCGGCGGUUGUGGAUGGACUCGCGGCUUACUAGCUUGUUGGGGGGGUAGUGGCUUACCCAGGCUUUGACGGGUAGCCGGCCUGAGUGGUUGACCGGCCACAUUGGGACUGAGAUACGGCCGCGACGCCUACGGGAGGAAGCAGUGGGGAAUACUGCACCAUGCGCGGAAGGCGUAUGCAGCAACGCCGCGUGCUGGAAGACGCUCUUCGGGGUGUAAACCGGUUGUACCUGUGAAGAAGCGUGAGUGACGGUAAUGGGUAAAGAAGCCCCGGCUAACUACGUG